rnacentral:rRNA from 1 species
UACAGAGGGUGCGAGCGUUAAUCGGAAUUACUGGGCGUAAAGCGCGCGUAGGCGGCUUUGCAAGCCGGAUGUGAAAUCCCCGGGCUUAACCUGGGAACUGCAUUCGGGACUGCAUUGCUAGAGUAUGGGAGAGGGAAGUGGAAUUUCAGGUGUAGCGGUGAAAUGCGUAGAUAUCUGAAGGAACAUCAGUGGCGAAGGCGACUUCCUGGACCAAUACUGUCGCUCAUGUGCGAAAGCGUGGGGAGCAAACAGG